UACGGAGGGUGCAAGCGUUAAUCGGAAUUACUGGGCGUAAAGCGCACGCAGGUGGCUGAGUCAGUCGAUUGUGAAAGCCCUGGGCUUAACCUGGGAAUUGCAGUCGAUACUACUCGGCUCGAGUAUGGGAGAGGGCAGUGGAAUUCCCGGUGUAGCGGUGAAAUGCGUAGAGAUGUGGCGGAACACCGAUGGCGAAGGCAGCCUCCUGGGCCAAUCCUGACGCUCAGUCACGAAAGCGUGGGGAGCAAACAGG
rnacentral:rRNA from 1 species